AAAGUCGUAACAAGGUAACCGUAGGUGAACCUGCGGUUGGAUCAUUAAAAAAAUUAGGGUGGGUCAACCAAAAAUUGACCCUACUCAAACAUUUUGUGAACUGUUUAUUGUCUCUUGCGGGUUUAGUGUUGGUCCUUGGGCCUCGCUUCCCGCAUCAUGAACCUAGUAACUAAUUCUUGUCUUUAAUUGAUAUUUUAAAAUUAAAACAACUUUUGACAACGGAUCUCUAGGCUCUC
rnacentral:misc_RNA from 1 species